UUGUAAGAGUUUCAUUUGGAGAUUAUUUUGGAUUCUACCGUUUGGAAUUUCAGAAGGCCGAGGAGCUUUGUCGUAUAAUUUCGUAUGACAGUUGAGUUCCGGGAGCACUUCUCGAUAUGUAUAUGAUGUGGGACCGGGGUUCAAAUCUGAAGACGAUUGGUUGUUGGCUUUAUUUGUAUACGGCAACGCGACAUAUGGACGAUCUGUCGAAGAGGGAUGCCUCCCGGGAGGUUUUUUUUAAAGAAAUGGCUCUUAUUUGAGUGUUAUAAACGUGAGAAAAUCCGAAAAAUAACGCGUGGCCAGCCGGUUAGAAACCUUUUUGAUUCGGAGAGCCCUUUUUAGAAUCACUUUCUAUGGCAGAGUCUCGUAGGCCUACCCUGUCAUAUAAGUUAAUUUAAAAUUAAUGGUGUUUAGGAAUUGGUUUGGUUCGGGGAAGCCUAGGAAUAGGCCUAAAUUCGGACGUAAUAUAAAAUCGUGUGUAAAUGUUUAAUGAGUUGCACUGUUUUCUUACUUUAAUUAAGUUUAACUGAUGAUAAUUGCAGGGGAAUGUCUGGUACUGCAUUUAAGCGGUUUCUGUAUUUUGUUUUGGUACCUGUAUAGAGAGAGAGAAUCCUGCUUCACAGAGAUAUUUAAUUGAGGAAGGCACAAUACGAAAUUCAACUUGGCUAAUUGUUUCUUAUUUUUUAAUAUUAUUCAAUUUUUAUUUAUUUUAUUUUUCUCGAGCGGCACAGGUUGGUAACCAUUAAACUAUACUGUACAGUAUUUCAUAUUAACGUUGACGAAACAUGAACUUUUUAUUCUCAAUAUAUUGAGUUUUAGACGAGAUAUUUAUUUAUAAUCUGUACUGUUCUUGACAUUACGAUACGUUAGAUUCAGGCCUGGUAGGUAUCUAGGUGGCCAUGCUUCAAACCACCGCACAGCAUGAUGAUCGAUAAAUUGAUGAUUUCUUGCGCCAUGUAAGGGAGUUCUUUUACAGAACCGGUUUUGUGAAGGGAUGCAAUACCGGAUACACCUCAUGUUCAGAAAAAUUAAGUUCAUUUAAAGGACCUAAACAGCUGGAAUUAUAACUGAAAUGGCGGCGAAUGAUUCCCAGAGAAGACAGACUUUACAAAUCAACAGAUUUCGUUUGGAAAAGACACUUUGCAUUCCACUAUAUUAUUAAAGACUGGAAUUUUACUAACAGAAGUAUUCUCCAAAAUGCUGAGGGAGAGUUACUUUGAUGGAAAAUUAAUCAAGAUUUACUUGAGAUAUCUGAAGAAAACUGUAUGCCAACUUUGCAUUGAGGCAUUUUCUACGUGCAGUACUUUUUUCAAUUUAAAGAAGCUAAAUUUGUUAAUGUGAAAAAUAGAAUUGGAUUAAUUUAUCUAAAACAUCUAAAUCACAUUCAGUAGAAAGAAAUCACAUUUACUUAAAGAUGCACAAACAUUUUUAGCCUAGUUUAUACUCUAUUUUCAGAUGCAUUUUAAAAUAAAAGAUGCAAACGUUUGUACAUCUUUAAAUAAAUGUUUUUCAGCAAUCAUACGGAGAUUAGUGAUUAAUUAAUAAUUAUUUAUCCAAGACUAUGGAUUUGACUGUUAAUACAGAAUUGUGAGGAAUAUUUUGAAGAGCGUUGUAAAGAAAUAUCUAGUUACGAAGAUUGCGUAGAAUAUGCAGCAGAGAUGCUCACUUACAUAAUUCAUUAUUACGUUUAAUUCAGAGUGUGCCAA